GAUGAACGCUGGCGGCGUGCCUAAUACAUGCAAGUCGAGCGAACGGACGAGAAGCUUGCUUCUCUGAUGUUAGCGGCGGACGGGUGAGUAACACGUGGAUAACCUACCUAUAAGACUGGGAUAACUUCGGGAAACCGUAGCUAAUACCGGAUAAUAUUUUGAACCGCAUGGUUCAAAAGUGAAAGACGGUCUUGCUGUCACUUAUAGAUGGAUCCGCGCUGCAUUAGCUAGUUGGUAAGGUAACGGCUUACCAAGGCAACGAUGCAUAGCCGACCUGAGAGGGUGAUCGGCCACACUGGAACUGAGACACGGUCCAGACUCCUACGGGAGGCAGCAGUAGGGAAUCUUCCGCAAUGGGCGAAAGCCUGACGGAGCAACGCCGCGUGAGUGAUGAAGGUCUUCGGAUCGUAAAACUCUGUUAUUAGGGAAGAACAUAUGUGUAAGUAACUGUGCACAUCUUGACGGUACCUAAUCAGAAAGCCACGGCUACCUACGU
rnacentral:rRNA from 1 species